CACGUAGGGUGCAAGCGUUGUCCGGAAUUAUUGGGCGUAAAGGGCUCGUAGGCGGUCCGUCACGUCGGGAGUGAAAACUCGGGGCUCAACCCCGAGCCUGCUUUCGAUACGGGCGGACUAGAGGUAGGUAGGGGAGAACGGAAUUCCUGGUGUAGCGGUGGAAUGCGCAGAUAUCAGGAGGAACACCGGUGGCGAAGGCGGUUCUCUGGGCCUUACCUGACGCUGAGGAGCGAAAGCCAGGGGAGCAAACGGG
rnacentral:rRNA from 1 species